rnacentral:rRNA from 1 species
UUUUCUAUGGUUGACCUCGGAUCA